CUUCCGAUCCAUCCUGUUGCGACUCGCGACUCGCCCCAACUCUCCGCCGUAGCACCACCGCCUCCGCCUCCUGAUCUGGUGAUCCCCUUCCUCGAUUCUCCUCGACGCGGCGAGUCGGCCAACACAUAAGGACAUAUCUCAUCUUAUUUUUGAAGAGUUGCUUUGUGCCGACGAGAGAGGCACCUGCUAACUGGAAUCAUGUCCACCGGUCAGGAAUUGAAGUUGAAGAUGGACAACAACAUAACCACCGGUCAGGAAUUGAAGUUGAAGAUGGACAACAGCAUACCCCGUGCUUUUCAGUGGGUAAUAGCGUCAUCAGCGUCGUCAGCAUUGACGAUUGGGGAAAGGAACAAGAAGAUGAACAUGUCUCCUGGUGCUGAGUGGAUAACGGUUGUCUGCAUGCCACCUGUUUUCAUCUUCGGUUCAGCAUGUUUAGCCAACAUCGUGUUUAGCAAAUCCUUCUGGAGCGGCAUCCCAUGGUGGCUGCCCGUUAUCAUGUUGGCCGGCGUCUACCAAGCAGUGGUCUUUUUGGCGACGGGGCACAUCACCCUCUUCUUGCCGGAGGCACCCUUCGCAGCACGGGAAGCUCUCUUCAAUGUCGGUUACAAGGGGAUUGGCCUUGCUGUUGCCUUGACCUCUUGCUUCUCGGUGUUAUUUAAUGACCAGCCGUGGGUGCUCAUCACCUGGGCUUGCCUUCAAAGCGCCCUCAUUGCUGCCAUCCUUGCCUUCUGGGUCUGCCUUGUUCGCGCCUAUGGGAAGCAAGGAGCUACGGGAACAAAAUCGUAGCGGCUUAGAUGGUAGGUAGAAUUACAAUAAUGCACCCUUUUUGGCGCUCUCUCGCUUCUUGGAUGGUUAAUCCUUUCCUGUAAACAGUGGGUGCCAGUCUAUCGUUAUUAUUUAAUAAUGUGUUGUUUGCUUGUACAACUUGUUUUAUGUAUCUGUGAUUGGCUUGUGUCUUGCUUCUCAGCUUAUACUUUCAUAAAACGAACUAAUAAGCUUACUGAUCAGCAAGCAAAAACAAACAAAUUUGAUCAAGCAAUACAGCAGAAAUAGGCAUAACAGCUGGUCAUUUUAAACCGGCAGCAAAUAGUGUAUCUGGUAGAUUUGUUAGUUGUUAGUUGUUACUUUUCAGUACCGGUAGAUUUUAGUGGAAUUGAUAGCAGAGGGAAGUUACUUUGGAGCUUAGAUAGUACUUGGGAUUUGAAGAUUGCUGCUGUGGAAGCGUGGUCCUGGGAUAAUGGCAUGUGAGUAUGUGUAACAAGUUGAUGACCUUUGAGAGCCAUUUGUGCUAGGAGAGCAAUCAGCAAUGUCAGGUCCAACCAUCCAAGUGCGAGGAUGCAAAUCCUGGUAGGGCUUGAACCUGUGUUAUUUUAUAAUCUGGCUCAAUUUGGUUAUUGAAAAUUGCAGCCUGUGCUUAUUUGUAUUUUCAUACGACUUCAUUGAUUUGGGAAGGGAGUUAGCUUCAGAUAAGUUGAGAUUGAGAGAAGGACUGCAGAAUUGGAUGUACUAUUGGGUCUAAGUUUCUCAUAUAAUAGUUGGAAAUUAAGGUGACAAGAUUACUGCAGGGCUGAGGGAAUAUUUUUAAUUUAAAUUUAGAAUUCUCUUUAAGUUUUGUUUCCAUUAAUUUAGGAUUUUCCUGAAUAGAAACUCCUAUUUCUCUUAGUUGUGAAGUUGAUCUUCAGAGUCCAGACCAAUGUUUGGAAGAUGUAAAAACAAUUUUUUUAGUGGUUGCCUUAUCUUUAUACAAACAACUUCCCUGCAAGAACUGAUUGAGAAGUUAAAGAUGCCAUCCCCUGCUGUGUUGAUGAAGAUUGCUAUUGCUUACUUAAAUGAUUCCUCUAUAUCACUGGAGGACCACUACCAUGCACUGCAGGAGCUUUUAGUUCUCGUUGAGUGCAUCGCUCAACAAUGCUAAUGGUAAGUAUGUGCUUGUUUGCUAAUAUAGGCGAAUGCUCUAAACCUCAUCCUUAGCAAGCCAACCCAUGUAUGAGCAUGUAGUUACAGAUGCAGAUGUCCCUUUUCUUUACUUUUGUCCAUAACGGAGAAUAUGUGCAGGUCGUUAUUUACUUGUAAUUGAUUCAUGUUUAGAUGAUCCAUGUACCUGUUACAUAGUUAAUUGUUUUGAAGGUUAGAAGUAUGUUUUGCAGUGUUUUUAUGUUUGUUUAUUAUAGUAUAUGUAAAUGCAAACUUGGAUGACUUCCUUUUCUUGAUUCAAGAACUUAACUAUGUCAGCAUGGGUGCUGGGUAAAACCUGUCUGUCAGCAUGGGUGCUAGGAAAGCCAGUCAGAACUAUGUUUUAUUCAUGGUGAUUUUUUCUUAUUCAGUUCUACAUAUCCUUACAGCUUCUGUUCUUGCUUUAUUAACAGUAUGCCAAUUUGGGUAGGUGGAUGUCGCAACGUUGUCGUCUCACAUGAUGGAACACACAACAAUUUGGUCAGAUUAAAUUCUAGGUGUCUUGUCAACCUGGUUGAUUCCUCAGUACUACCAACUGAGGAAGACGCUGGGUCGCAUUGAAAGGGAGUCCACGCGCUACUCCUGCAAGAAAUCAAUGGAUGGUCAUACUGUCUGGCAUCUGGAUUCUUAAUCCAGGAUUGACUGCUUCAAUGCGGGUGCUCUUUGGACACUGCCUGGGGCUUUGCAUAUUUGGCAGCGCACUGUUGGCUCUUGGGUACAACUUCUUCACGAUGUGGAUCUCCACCUUCGAGACAUUCUAGCAGAAGAGGGACGCAACAGUUCAGGAUGGUUCAGUUUCAGAUGUCAUUGGCCUUAGAGGCCAUUUAAAGCAAGUCUGAGUGAUGCCCUCUCAAAUUUGCGUGUAUGCAAUAUUUGUCCUUUGCUGGCUGUAGUGUGCAAAUAAAAAACUGAUGGAAAUAAGACGACAGGCUGAACGAGCAUGUUCCAAAUGCGAAAUGCUAUACAAAUCAAGAAAAGGUUUUGCCCUUGCAUGGGUUCAUAUUGAAUUUACCAGACCAUUUUUAUAUUGAAUAAGUCAAAUACUUUUAGUAGAUUGAUCGUGGCCAGAUCCCAACUUACAGACUAGAUUUACUUGACCAUGUACGUUGAUGGCAGUGCAUCUUAGAUUGCCUCGUAUAUUGUAUUAUUUUGAAGGUGAAUCUUAAAGGUUUGUAGUUCACAAAGGUCAUAUCUCUAAACAACCUUAGGUGUU